AAAAAGAAAAAAGAAACAAAAAGCCUCACAAACACGAAAAAAAAAAAAAAAAAAAAAAAGAAAAGAAAAGCCUGGCAAACACAAAAAAGAAAAAAAAGCCUCUCGCGGCGCAGAGCCCCGCAGUCAGCCAGCAGUCACCAGGAAUCACUCACAGUCACCCCGCAGACACCCCCGCAGUCUCCUCCGCAGUCACCCCCGCAGUCUCCCCUCCGCAGUCACCCCCGCAGUCUCCCCUCCGCAGUCACCCCCGCGGUCACCCGGCAGUCUCCCCACAGUCUCCCCUCCGCAGUCACCCCCGCAGUCUCCUCCGCAGUCACCCCCGCAGUCUCCUCCGCAGUCUCCCCCGCAGUCACCCCCGCAGUCUCCCCGCAGUCACCCCCGCAGUCUCUCCCGCAGUCACCCCGCAAUCUCCUCUGCAGUCACCCGGCAGUCACCCCCGCAGUCUCCCCGCAGUCACCCCCGCAGUCUCCCCGCAGUCUCCUCCGCAGUCUCCCUGCAGUCACCCCGCAGUCUCCUCCGCAGUCACCCCCGCAGUCUCCCCUGCAGUCACCCCCGCAGUCUCCCGCAGUCACCCCGCAGUCUCCUCCGCAGUCUCCCCCGCAGUCACCCCGCAGUCUCCCCCGCAGUCACCCCGCAGUCUCCUCCGCAGUCUCCCCGCAGUCUCCCGCAGUCUCCCCACAGUCUCCUCUGCAGUCACCCCCGCAGUCACCCCGCAGUCUCCCCGCAGUCUCCCGCAGUCACCCCCGCAGUCUCCCCGCAGUCUCCUCCGCAGUCUCCCUGCAGUCACCCCGCAGUCUCCUCCGCAGUCACCCCGCAGUCUCCUCCGCAGUCACCCCCGCAGUCUCCCCUGCAGUCACCCCCGCAGUCUCCCGCAGUCACCCCGCAGUCUCCUCCGCAGUCUCCCCCGCAGUCACCCCGCAGUCUCCCCCGCAGUCACCCCGCAGUCUCCUCCGCAGUCUCCCCGCAGUCUCCCGCAGUCUCCCCGCAGUCUCCUCUGCAGUCACCCCCGCAGUCACCCCGCAGUCUCCCCGCAGUCUCCCGCAGUCUCCCCGCAGUCUCCUCCGCAGUCUCCCCCGCAGUCACCCCGCAGUCUCCUCCGCAGUCUCCCCGCAGUCUCCCGCAGUCUCCCCGCAGUCUCCUCUGCAGUCACCCCCGCAGUCACCCCGCAGUCUCCCCGCAGUCUCCCGCAGUCUCCCCGCAGUCUCCUCCGCAGUCUCCCCCGCAGUCACCCCGCAGUCUCCUCCGCAGUCUCCCCGCAGUCUCCCGCAGUCUCCCCGCAGUCUCCUCUGCAGUCACCCCCGCAGUCACCCCGCAGUCUCCCCGCAGUCUCCUCCGCAGUCUCCCCCGCAGUCACCCCGCAGUCUCCUCCGCAGUCUCCCCGCAGUCUCCCGCAGUCUCCCCGCAGUCUCCUCUGCAGUCACCCCCGCAGUCACCCCGCAGUCUCCCCGCAGUCUCCUCCGCAGUCUCCCCCGCAGUCACCCCGCAGUCUCCUCCGCAGUCUCCCCGCAGUCUCCCGCAGUCUCCCCGCAGUCUCCUCCGCAGUCUCCCCCGCAGUCUCCCCGCAGUCUCCUCGCAGUCUCCCCCGCAGUCCCCCGCAGUCACCCCGUAGUCUCCCCCGCAGUCUCCUCCGCAGUCACCCCGCAGUCUCCCGCGGUCUCCCCGCAGUCUCCUCCGCAGUCUCCCCCGCAGUCUCCUCCGCAGUCUCCUCCGCAGUCUCCCCCGCAGUCACCCCCGCAGUCUCCCCGCAGUCACCCCCGCAGUCUCUCCCGCAGUCACCCCGCAAUCUCCUCUGCAGUCACCCGGCAGUCACCCCCGCAGUCUCCCCGCAGUCACCCCCGCAGUCUCCCCGCAGUCUCCUCCGCAGUCUCCCUGCAGUCACCCCGCAGUCUCCUCCGCAGUCACCCCCGCAGUCUCCCCUGCAGUCACCCCCGCAGUCUCCCGCAGUCACCCCGCAGUCUCCUCCGCAGUCUCCCCCGCAGUCACCCCGCAGUCUCCCCCGCAGUCACCCCGCAGUCUCCUCCGCAGUCUCCCCGCAGUCUCCCGCAGUCUCCCCGCAGUCUCCUCUGCAGUCACCCCCGCAGUCACCCCGCAGUCUCCCCGCAGUCUCCCGCAGUCACCCCCGCAGUCUCCCCGCAGUCUCCUCCGCAGUCUCCCUGCAGUCACCCCGCAGUCUCCUCCGCAGUCACCCCGCAGUCUCCUCCGCAGUCACCCCCGCAGUCUCCCCUGCAGUCACCCCCGCAGUCUCCCGCAGUCACCCCGCAGUCUCCUCCGCAGUCUCCCCCGCAGUCACCCCGCAGUCUCCCCGCAGUCACCCCGCAGUCUCCUCCGCAGUCUCCCCGCAGUCUCCCGCAGUCUCCCCGCAGUCUCCUCCGCAGUCUCCCCCGCAGUCACCCCGCAGUCUCCCCGCAGUCUCCCGCAGUCUCCCCGCAGUCUCCUCCGCAGUCUCCCCCCGCAGUCACCCAGCAGUCUCCUCCGCAGUCUCCCCGCAGUCUCCCGCAGUCUCCCCGCAGUCUCCUCUGCAGUCACCCCCGCAGUCACCCCGCAGUCUCCCCGCAGUCUCCUCCGCAGUCUCCCCCGCAGUCACCCCGCAGUCUCCUCCGCAGUCUCCCCGCAGUCUCCCGCAGUCUCCCCGCAGUCUCCUCCGCAGUCUCCCCCGCAGUCUCCCCGCAGUCUCCUCGCAGUCUCCCCCGCAGUCCCCCGCAGUCACCCCGUAGUCUCCCCCGCAGUCUCCUCCGCAGUCACCCCGCAGUCUCCCGCGGUCUCCCCGCAGUCUCCUCGCAGUCUCCCCCGCAGUCACCCCGCAGUCUCCUCCGCAGUCACCCCGCAGUCUCCCCCGCAGUCUCCCCGCAGUCUCCCCCCGUCACCCCGCAGUCACCCCCGCAGUCUCCCCCGCAGUCCCCCCGCAGUCUCCCCGCAGUCUCCUCCGCAGUCCCCCCGCAGUCUCCCCGCAGUCUCCCUGCAGUCACCCCCGCAGUCUCCCCGCAGCCUCCCCCGCAGUCACCGGGCGGCACGGCCCCGGCGAGCACUCGCAGGCCCGGGAGCGCCCGCGGGGCCCAGGGGCGGGGGAGCCGCCGCUGCGGGCGCGGGCAGGGCUUCCAGGAAGCCGCGGGCUCGGCUGACUUCGCGGCGGCGGGUCGGGUCGGGUCGGGCCGGGUCGGGGCCGCCUCGGCCGGCACGUAG
rnacentral:lncRNA from 1 species